GACAGAGGCCCCGAGCGUUAGGCGGAAUCACUGGGCUUAAAGCGUGUGUAGGCGGGCCCGUAAGUGUCUUGUGAAAUCCCACGGCUCAACCGUGGAACUGCUGGGCAUACUGCGGGUCUUGGGCCAACUAGGGGCAGCCGGAACAAGCGGCGGAGCGGUGAAAUGCGUAGAUAUCGCUUGGAACGCCGAAGGUGAAAACAGGCUGCUGGGGUUGCGCCGACGCUGAGACACGAAAGCCAGGGGAGCAAACGGG
rnacentral:rRNA from 1 species